CCUACGGGGGGCAGCAGUGGGGAAUAUUGGACAAUGGGCGAAAGCCUGAUCCAGCCAUGCCGCGUGUGUGAAGAAGGCCUUCGGGUUGUAAAGCACUUUCAGUGGGGAAGAAAGCCUUGGGGCUAAUACCCUCGAGGAAGGACAUCACCCACAGAAGAAGCACCGGCUAACUCCGUGCCAGCAGCCGCGGUAAUACGGAGGGUGCGAGCGUUAAUCGGAAUUACUGGGCGUAAAGCGCGCGUAGGCGGUCUGAUAAGCCGGUUGUGAAAGCCCCGGGCUCAACCUGGGAACUGCAUCCGGAACUGUCAGGCUAGAGUGCAGGAGAGGAAGGUAGAAUUCCCGGUGUAGCGGUGAAAUGCGUAGAGAUCGGGAGGAAUACCAGUGGCGAAGGCGGCCUUCUGGACUGACACUGACGCUGAGGUGCGAAAGCGUGGGUAGCAAACAGGAUUAGAUACCCGGGUAGUC
rnacentral:rRNA from 1 species